rnacentral:sRNA from 1 species
UUUCAUGUUCCUCUGGGACCAAACAAUAAAACCCUGUCUCCUUUCCAAUUCCAGUAAAGGUAUUCAGGCAUCGGAGACUUGAUAACAUGCACCUACUCAGUGUGAAGACAACCAGAUGAAGACCUUUGUGAUGAUCCACUUCCACUUGAUGAAUAAAGAAAGAACCUUCUAAAUCCAGCAUCAAGAAAAAAGUGACCAAAGUUGCAGAAGCAAAAAAAGUAAUGAAGAGAAAUUUUAAAGUGAAUAAGAAGAUAACAUUUACUGAUGAAGGGGAGUUGGUUCAGCAGUGGCCACAAAUGCAGAAAUCUGCCAUCAAGGAUGCUGAGGAAGAUGAUGACACGGGUGGUAUCAACUUAGAUAAAGCAAAGGAAAGACUUCAGGAAGAGGACAAAUUUGACAAAGAAGAAUAUAGGAAAAAAAUUAAGGCAAAGCAUCGG